rnacentral:rRNA from 1 species
UACGGAGGAGGCAAGCGUUAUCCGGAAUUAUUGGGCGUAAAGCGUCCGUAGGUGGUUGGCCAAGUCUGCUGUCAAAGGGUGGGGCUUAACCUCAUAAAGGCAGUGGAAACUGGCGAGCUAGAGUGCGGUAGGGGUAGGGGGAAUUCCCAGUGUAGCGGUGAAAUGCGUAGAGAUUGGGAAGAACAUCGGUGGCGAAAGCGCCCUGCUGGGCCUGCACUGACGCUGAGGCGCGAAAGCCAGGGGAGCAAACGGG